rnacentral:lncRNA from 1 species
AAUUUUUCAUUGAGAAUAAUUUGUAUUUUGGAAAAGACAUUUUAAACUUAUUUUUAUUUUAAGUAGGAAACCAAUAUAUUCCUCCAGAAAGUUGAUCACCAGAUUGUCUUUCCAGAAUAACUAACAAAGAAUAACAAAUCACCAGGGGCUAGACACCCCUUUGCCCCCCUCAGGACAGCCCUGGGGAACAUGGGUGAAAGAAUUUUUAUUGCUUCAAAUAUUUUAGCUGCAAAUCUUACUGAUAGGCCAAUAGUGAAUACUUAAGUUUCCAUUUCUAAUGAUAGUAUUGGUGUUAAAACUGCUCCUGCCAUUUCACCAUCAACAUCAUUUAAUUUAUGAGAAAGGGCUCCUGUGAGUUUACCAUCAAUAUUAUUUAUUGUUUUACCUAAAUAAUACGAACUAAUUCCAAAGCCAGGUUAAGAAUAACAACUAAUACAAAAAAACACAUAAUAGGUGUAAAAGAAAAUUGCAUAUUUUAACUGAUACACCUAAAAUAACAAAACAGAAUAUCUUUUAGUUUUUAAAUGAUGAAAGUUCUGAUGAAAUUUAUUAUAGAGUAAAUAUACUUACUUUAAGUAAAAUUUUUCCGAGUUUUUUAAUCAUCAAGUUGGCCGAAAUAAAAUAGAUAAAGCUAGAUAGAGCCUAGAUAAAGCCUAGAGGCUUUAUUUAGCAGAAGUUAUAGAAGUUGUUGGUGUAGUUUACAAAAUUAAGUAUUAUAAGAAAUCAGGAGACAUUUGUAAUAAAUUUAUAUGAGACGAUGACGAUUUUACCAUUCUACAGAAUUUAAAUAUACAUUAUUUCUUCUAAGGCUUGUUUCUAAUAAUAAAAAUUAAUUUUUAGUUUAACAGGUGUUUCGUUUUUUUUAUAUUUAGUGUAUGACAGCAUGCAACCUUAAUCAAACUUUUAGCCUGACAAAGUGUCUCAUAACUUGUAAAAAUUAUAAUUUGUGUGAACUUGGUUGUUUAUUCUACAGUCAUAUUAAAGAAAAUGACACUGGUUGUUGACCAACGGUUUAUAAUCAAAAUUUAAUAUGGCUGGCGGUAAAGGUAAAGAGAAG